AUGGCUUAACCAUAGAACUGCUUGAGAAACUGGUAAUCUAGAGUGAGGGAGAGGCAGAUGGAAUUGGUGGUGUAGGGGUAAAAUCCGUAGAGAUCACCNGGAAUACCCAUUGCGAAGGCGAUCUGCUGGAACUCAACUGACGCUAAUGCGUGAAAGCGUGGGGAGCAAACAGGAUUAGAUACCCUGGUAGUCCACGCCCUAAACAAUGUAUACUAGUUGUUGCUAAGCUAGUCUUGGCAGUAAUGCACCUAACGGAUUAAGUAUACCGCCUGGGGAGUACGGUCGCAAGAUUAAAACUCAAAGGAAUAGACGGGGACCCGCACAAGCGGUGGAGCAUGUGGUUUAAUUCGAAGAUACGCGAAGAACCUUACCCGGACUUGAUAUCUAACAAAUCAUCUAGAGAUAGAAGAGUGUCUGCUUGCAGAAAUGUUAAGACAGGUGCUGCACGGCUGUCGUCAGCUCGUGUCGUGAGAUGUUGGGUUAAGUCCCGCAACGAGCGCAACCCACGUCAUUAGUUGCUAACAGUUCGGCUGAGCACUCUAAUGAGACUGCCUUCGUAAGGAGGAGGAAGGUGUGGACGACGUCAAGUCAUCAUGGCCCUUAUGUCCGGGGCGACACACGUGCUACAAUGGCAUAUACAAUGAGAAGCAAUAUCGCGAGAUGGAGCAAAUCUAUAAAAUAUGUCCCAGUUCGGAUUGGAGUCUGCAACUCGACUCCAUGAAGCCGGAAUCGCUAGUAAUCGUAGAUCAGCCAUGCUACGGUGAAUACGUUCCCGGGUCUUGUACUCACCGCCCGUCACACCAUGGGAGUUGAUNUCACU
rnacentral:rRNA from 1 species